rnacentral:rRNA from 1 species
UACGUAGGGCGCAAGCGUUGUCCGGAAUUAUUGGGCGUAAAGAGCUCGUAGGCGGCUUGUCGCGUCGACUGUGAAAUCCCCUGGGCUCAACCCAGGAAGUGCACUCGAAACUGGCGAGCUUGAGUACUGAAGAGGGUCGCGGAAUUCCCCGGUGUAGAGGUGAAAUUCGUAGAUAUCGGGAGGAACACCAGUGGCGAAGGCGGCGACCUGGGCAGAUACUGACACUGAGGUGCGAAAGCGUGGGGAGCAAACAGG